UUUCAUGAAUGAGCAAAGAAAGUGGUUUUUUAAGAUGGAAUCUACUUCCAGUGAAGAUGUGGUGAA
rnacentral:pre_miRNA from 2 species